AGUGAACGCUGGCGGUAGGCCUAACACAUGUGAGUCGAACGGCAGCACAGUAAGAGCUUGCUCUUACGGGUGGCGAGUGGCGGACGGGUGAGGAAUACAUCGGAAUCUACUUUUUCGUGGGGGAUAACGUAGGGAAACUUACGCUAAUACCGCAUACGACCUACGGGUGAAAGCAGGGGAUCUUCGGACCUUGCGCGAUUGAAUGAGCCGAUGUCGGAUUAGCUAGUUGGCGGGGUAAAGGCCCACCAAGGCGACGAUCCGUAGCUGGUCUGAGAGGAUGAUCAGCCACACUGGAACUGAGACACGGUCCAGACUCCUACGGGAGGCAGCAGUGGGGAAUAUUGGACAAUGGGCGCAAGCCUGAUCCAGCCAUACCGCGUGGGUGAAGAAGGCCUUCGGGUUGUAAAGCCCUUUUGUUGGGAAAGAAAAGCAGCAGGUUAAUACCCCGCUGUUCUGACGGUACCCAAAUAAUAAGCACCGGCUAACUUCGUG
rnacentral:rRNA from 1 species